ACCAAUGCACACAUAGACGCACAUUUUUUCCCCUUCUAAUUCCCUCUUUUCUCUGGUGUGUGUGUCAUGGUGACAGGUGUUCCUGUCUGCAGCUGUUUUUCGCGACCAAUCCGUCCAUCUCACCUGCAGACGUCUCUGAUCUUCCAAAUACAGAAGGAGGGCGAAUGCGGUUUGGCUGUACCAGCUCUUGUGCUCAUUUCUCACUGAUGAAUGUGCUGUGCUGGUGAGGAUGAUGAGGACGAAGAGGCUGAUACAAAUCAACUUCAAGUGAAGAGACCACCAGAGAGUGCUGCCUCCUUCAGGGAAGCAGUGGUACCACGUGAGUCUGUCAACAGGGAAUCUGGGAAUGUUACAUUGGACCUUGUGAACUUUGACUAGUAUACAGUGACACCGUUGGACGGCCCUGUGAUCUGGUUAUGCAACCAGAUCUGUGAUUGGUUAAAUAUGACCCUGAGGGAAAUUACAGAUCUGUCAUUGAUAUGAGUGGACCCACCCACCUGCUAAGAAUUUACUUUGCUCAAUACGUGUGUGUCUGUCUGUCUGUUGCAACAUGUCUAUGCUGUUUUUGCGGAUUCUAUAAUCUUGUCCUGGAAUACAUGCUCGUGUCUGACCCUUUUUCUCCUUCUUUUUCUCGUUCCCCUCUUUGACAGCACUAAUAUGUUCAGCAGAUCACGUUACACUUUCUCCCUAUCCAUCUACUCGUGCCAGACUUCUCUUUCUGCAACCUUUCUUUUUCUUUCUCUGCCCCCUUUUUUUUCCAGUGGGACUCUUUCUAUCCCUCUCUUUUUCUGACUCUUAUGUAUACAUAUUCUCACAGACAUACUUGCGUUUUCUCACGAACACACAUGUGCCUCUCAGGUUGCUGCCAUUUUCCAUUUUUGAGUGCUCAGUAAUAAUAAUAAUAUUAACGUGUGUGUAAGAGGUGUCAGGGCUGCCAGUCUCUUAUAAAUAUGAGCCCUUUUCACUGGCAACCCGAGACCCCAGACCUGCCUUACGCCCGUUUACACAGCUGAAUAACAUGUGUAAGAAACUCUCUUCUUCUUUCUCUCUGUCUUUAUUCUUCCAUCUUACCCUCUUCCAGACAGAAACACCUCUUGUCUCACCACACCCACCAUUUCUAUCUCCACUCUUUUCUUUGUCCUGUUUGUCUUAACCUCUGUCUUGCUGUCAAAUUCUUACUCUCAUAAAGAGU